GAUGAACGCUGGCGGCGUGCCUAAUACAUGCAAGUCGAGCGAACGGACGAGAAGCUUGCUUCUCUGAUGUUAGCGGCGGACGGGUGAGUAACACGUGGAUAACCUACCUAUAAGACUGGGAUAACUUCGGGAAACCGGGGCUAAUACCGGAUAAUAUUUUGAACCGCAUGGUUCAAAAGUGAAAGACGGUCUUGCUGUCACUUAUAGAUGGAUCCGCGCUGCAUUAGCUAGUUGGUAAGGUAACGGCUUACCAAGGCAACGAUGCAUAGCCGACCUGAGAGGGUGAUCGGCCACACUGGAACUGAGACACGGUCCAGACUCCUACGGGAGGCAGCAGUAGGGAAUCUUCCGCAAUGGACGAAAGCCUGACGGAGCAACGCCGCGUGAGUGAUGAAGGUCUUCGGAUCGUAAAACUCUGUUAUUAGGGAAGAACAUAUGUGUAAGUAACUGUGCACAUCUUGACGGUACCUAAUCAGAAAGCCACGGCUAACUACGUG
rnacentral:rRNA from 1 species